CAACAAGGGAUUUUUCAUAAUAACCCCCUGACAUCCAAAUUCCUGAACUAUUUAUUUAUUAUUUCAGCCCUUCACGCCACUCCGUGGACUCGAUCCCGUGGUCCGUCGCCGAGCUCUUAAACCCUAAUUGCCGUUCCCCAUAGAAUAGCGCGGAAGGAGGAAAUGGGGGCCUCCUUCGUGGAUCCGAAUGGUUCGCAACUGAUGAUCGGUGACGGAGCCGGCUGUGGUAGGGCGCCUCCCCGCCGGCGGCCUAUCGGCUCUGGUGCCACGAACUCUGCACCUGGAAAACUUACAUGGUCCUUGUGAAAAUACAUCCCAGAGCAUCAGUUAGAGCUAGUUUCCAAAGAGCUAGAGGAAGCUUUGUACAAGAGAAAGAAAAGUUACCAUGAUCAGCUACAUAGUUAGCAGUCCAAUCAGCCGUUCGAUUGCCCAUGCGGUAGGUGUGUGAGAUGUGGAAUGAUUCGAGGUCCUGAGUGAUGAGCAAAAUAUCCAGCAACAAGGGAUGAUUUGUAGAUGUUGGAGAUGGCAAGUGGUUGCUCCAUUGAAUAGUAGAGGUAGACUGGCCCUCAAGCCAUAUGUGAAUUGACUGUGCAGUAGACACCUUCCCAUGCAACACACAGUUCCAUUAUGGCUACAUUUCUGUUCUGUUGGAAGAUGCCACCGGCUGCUACAGUGGCUCCCAUGUGAUCGUGGAUAAUGUAUCCAGCACCACAGGGGGUCUACCUCCCUCCUUGAUGGACCUGUUGAAAUUGACCUUGAGAGUGCCAGGGGGUGGGGACUCCCAAGACAUACCCUGUUCAAUAAGGAGGUAAUAGAGAGCUGCAGAUUGCCUUGGUAUUCUCAUACUCCAUGGAGAUCAAGGAGGGCUUGCUGCAUUGAAACUCAGCCUAUUGGAGUGGAGGGAAGCGGUGUGAUCCAUUGAAGAUAUGCUCAUUGCAUGCUAGCCAAAGGAUGUACCCAAUAACACAGAUCCUUAUUGGCAGCAUGACAUUUGAAAGCGGAGCUAGAUCUGUUCCGUGAAGGGAGCUGAAGGCUUCUUUAUUAUCGAAGUCAAACCCCACCAGCAUCCUGCUCCUCAGAAAGAUCACAGAUGUUCAUGCCUCGAAUGAUAAGAGUGAGACAGUAUGCAAGCGAGACCAGGUCACCUUCUACCAAAACAGAGUCACCCGAGCUGGUAAUUUGAUUGUCCACACCAAGGUGGCAUAGGCAUUUGAGCACAUGGGUGUUGCUGUGACAUGCUUAUAGGGCUCCUUGGCCUUGAGUAUGCUGCUACGAGAAGCUCCCCAGUUCCUCACCCAGUUUUGUAUGGAUGUGGAAGAGCAUGGGCAGUGUUCAGUGAUCUGAGCAUGUACUUGCUGAGUUGAUUUUUUUUUUAAUAUCUUCUGGAAUUCUAAUUGAUUCUUGGACAAUCAAUUGCACACACCAUAAUCAUCAAGCAUUUUCCAAACUAUUUGGGGCCAGCUUUAGGAUAAUCAGUUAUAUAGAUAUUUUAAAACAAAUUAGGUCAUUAUCAAUUUAUCAUGUCGGGGGAGUUCCAGCUGGUGAACUAAUUUUUUGUAAAUAUACUGUAUUAUUGAAAUUGUUUAAGAAUUAUAGUAUGUUUGUUUAUUAAUUAGCAGAUGACAGCUUUUGCUUGGUACCUUAGCAAGGUUCAGACAUGCUGCUAAGCUAGAUCAUCUCAUGCUUCCUUGUAAAGCUGUGCAUGAAGUCUGGCAGCGCUUGAUUUAUGCCAGUCACUAGCUUAUCAGUGUUAAUAUAAUCUCAGCAUGUUUACAAUUCUAGAAUGUUAAUGGACGUUCAUGGGUAUAUGUGCUAAAUGUGAUUAAUCCAAGUUGUUCCUUUUGGUUGAUAAGUUUACAAAAUUGUUUCUUUCAAGUCUUUGCUGCUUUUGCUUAUUUAUGUACAGACUUUAUAUCAUCGCUCAAAGUGAAAUGCAUAUAUAUCUUCUGAAAACUCAAAAUUCCCAGAUUUUCUACAUAUUUUUGUCAUGGUUAAAAUUACAUGUCUUUUCUGCUUUCAUUCUGUUGGACAAGUUAUCUGGUAAAUUUGUGAAAUUUAUUAGUUGAUUCACUUUUUUAGAGGAUAUACUUUGAAAGCAAAGAAAGAAAGAAAUGAUCACUCUUUACCGACUCUUGUAAAGGAGAAUAAUUCUGGUGGACAAAAUUCUGCUUUCCCUAGGUAACUAUAAAAGAGGUAGAAGUCGUGGAAGUAUUCAUUUUAUUCUAGGAAAAAACUCAAAGAGUGGGUUCCCUGGGAGAUGAAAAUAAAUAACAUGAUUAAAUGACCAAAUUCUACAUUUCCUGGAUAGGCUUGAGCUAUAUCCAGGUUGUCUGCAGCAAAACCCUACGGCCAUGUUUGGUUCAAGUUCUACGCCUUUCUGCCUGCCAAACAGCUUUUAGAAGGCAGGCAUAAGCAAAAAAUAGUUAUCCCGGUUGUAGUUGUUUGUGCUGAGCAUAACUAUUCCAUGUUGUCAUAAGUUAUUCCUAGUAUAAAGCCCUCAUUUAUGACUUCUUUUAUGACAAAAACACUCUCAACAUAGAGUUAUUCCAGAAACUGUAGCCAAAUAAAUGCAGGAUAAAUUGUGGAAUGACUAUUCCAUAGGCAAAACUAUCCAUAUUCCAUUUUUGUGUGCGGUAAUUUCAAUCAAAGAACUAGAUGGUUGCUAGUUUCACCAAGAAACAACACUCAAUUUGCUCCCAAGAAGAAAAUCUGAUUAAUAAAUUUAUAGCAUAUCAGGAAUAACUGAUAUGAUUAUUGGAAUCUCAAACAUUUAGAUGAUAUGAAAAAAAAUAAAGGGAAUAGGCAUUAGAUGUAAUGCAAUUAUCACGGUGAAGUUCCCUCAGGACGUCAUUGCCAAGUGGAGAGGUGAAUGUCCGAGAUAUCGUCAAGUAUUAACUUCCAAGGUUGGAAUGUUGAUGCCAACGGACAAGACUAGACUUAAGCCAGCUCCUCAAAGCUAAUGCCUAAUGGCAUAGGGACAUCAAAUAUUAGAUGCAGUAUUUGUGACAUAAACUGAGUUGAACAAUGAGAUAGAAAUAGAGAAGAAACAUAGGAUGUAACCACCGACAGCAAAGAUGGAGCACCCCCCCAAAAACAAAGAUCAGAGCGAAACGAAUAGGACAUUGUGGUGGUCCUUCAACAAAGAAACAAACCAUGAUUACCCAGGGGGAGCUUCUUAGAGUCAAAAGUGGGGAAGAUUACCCAAUUGGCGUAUUUUUCUUCUGGUCACCCACUCUGUAGCCCACUUAAACAAAGAAGAAGAAGAAGAAGAAAGUGAAAGAAAAAUGGAAAUGUAUGCUCCAGGAAUCUUAGAAACUGGAAAGCCUCAUGAAUGUAUCAUAGAAACAUGCUCAAGAUUUCAACCUUGUUGGUCAGCUUAGGAGUUUGUUUGGGUAAAUAUUAGAUCAUGAAAAUGACGUAGCAACCUAGAAGCGAAGGAUGAGUCAGCAUAUGGGGCAGAAAAAUCAAAAAAGGCAUUUCUUACAAAUAUUGUUUCAUACAAUAAAUUUUCUCUCAUUUUACUUAAAUUUACUCAUUUUUUGUGUGGAAGUUAUGUCAUUAUUGUGACUAAAUUUAAUUAUUUCAAACUUUUUCAACUUGUUACACUUCACUGUAACCAAUGCUAUGUGUAAAGCUAAAAGCAAGGAGGGUGCUCCCAAACAAAUCCUCCAUGCUAAAGCUUAUCUUGGUCGGCGGACAAUUCUAGUAUCAAAAAUAGGGGAUAUCUCUUUCCAGGUGUCGAAAGUUGUCCACAUCUGCAGCCAUAAAGAUAAAAAGGAUCAAGGCAAUUUGGUGUCUUGGGAAUGUGUACCCUUUGGGAUAGUAGUUGCAUGAUUAAGUGGGAAAUUAUAGGUACAUGUGAUACACAUUUGUGAGCUGCCUUCCUUAUAGAAUGUGACAAUUGAAGCAGGAGAUGAUUAUUUAAUAAAUCAUACCUAAAAGGAGGCAUAGCAAGGUAAGUACAUAGGUGAGUGUAUUAUACCGUCCAUUGCAAGAAUUUCUACACAAGAAUACUGUUGGAAUUUAACUAUAAUCUUAAAAUUUCACCUUGAGUAAGCCCUUGGAAAAGCUACCUGGCAUUGUGCUCUAGAUCCUUGUGCUGUUCGAAUGUCACAGUGAG